rnacentral:rRNA from 1 species
GACGGAGGAUGCAAGUGGUAUCCGGAAUCACUGGGCGUAAAGCGUCUGUAGGUGGUCAAAUAAGUCAACUGUUAAAUCUUGAGGCUCAACUUCAAAAUCGCAGUCGAAACUAUUAGACUAGAGUAUAGUAGGGGUAAAGGGAAUUUCCAGUGGAGCGGUGAAAUGCGUAGAGAUUGGAAAGAACACCGAUGGCGAAGGCACUUUACUGGGCUAUUACUAACACUCAGAGACGAAAGCUAGGGUAGCAAAUGGG